CACAUUGGCAUAUCACAGUCCACUACUGGACAUAGGCCUCCACAAGUUCGUGACAAAAAUUGCGUUAACUUAUGUGUUUUGCCCAUAGUCACCACGCUGGGGGCAGGCGGGUUGGUGACCGCAGGACUGGCUUUGUCGCACCGAAGAAGCUGCUGCCCGUCUUCUGCCCGUACUAUUUUACAUUACAUUAACAGGAAAUAAAGAAAAAAGAAAACCAUUAUAUCAAGUUUACUUUGAAAGCGAAAAUCUUCACAUAAAUUAGGUUCCACUAAGAGCUUCUAUGAUGUCAGUGGAUUUGAAGUGGUCAUUAAGGAUAUUUCAAGUGAAAUGAAGCUGUGGUCGAAAAACUAACAGUAGAAG
rnacentral:misc_RNA from 1 species